GAGUCAUCCGGUGAACCAAUGAGCUCUGUUAUAAGCCUCAGCUGAUGAACAUAGUCUUUACCAGGAAACAAGGGUUGUCUUGUCAUGAUUUCACCUAGUAUACAACCCACUGACCAUAUAUCAAUUGCUGCAGUGUACUCUGAACAAUUAAGUAGUAAUUCUGGUGCCCGAUACCAACGAGUAACAACAUACUCGGUCAUAAAAUCUGUUUCGGAUGUUGUUCUUGCAAGACCAAAGUCUGCA
rnacentral:misc_RNA from 1 species